GACGAACGCUGGCGGCGUGCUUAACACAUGCAAGUCGAGCGGUAAGGCUCCUUCGGGAGUACACGAGCGGCGAACGGGCGAGUAACACGUGAGUAAUCUGCCCUUCACUUCGGGAUAACCACCGGAAACGGUGGCUAAUACCGAAUACGACCAGUCUUCGCAUGAGGUGCUGGUGGAAAGUCUUUUCGGUGAAGGAUGUGCUCGCGGCCUAUCAGCUUGUUGGUGGGGUAAUGGCCUACCAAGGCUUCGACGGGUAGCCGGCUGGAGGGGGUGACCGGCCGACAGGGGUCUGAGGGCGGGCCCUGUCACCCCGGGGGGGCGGCUGAGGGGAAUUUUGAACAGUGGGUGAAGACGUAGCCACAGCGCGGGGGGGAGGGGGUUGCGGCAUUCGGGUUGUAAACCUCUUUCAGCACCAAGGAACCGCCCUGCCGGGUGGUGACGGUAGGUACAAAAAAAGAACCGCACAACUACGU
rnacentral:rRNA from 1 species